UCAACCGAGAUUCCCCCAGUAGCGGCGAGCGAACGGGGAGGAGCCCAGAGCCUGAAUCAGCAUGUGUGUUAGUGGAAGCGUCUGGAAAGGCGCGCGAUACAGGGUGACAGCCCCGUACACAAAAGCGCAUGUGCUGUGAGCUCGAUGAGUAGGGCGGGACACGUGGUAUCCUGUCUGAAUAUGGGGGGACCAUCCUCCAAGGCUAAAUACUCCUGACUGACCGAUAGUGAACCAGUACCGUGAGGGAAAGGCGAAAAGAACCCCGGCGAGGGGAGUGAAAAAGAACCUGAAACCGUGUACGUACAAGCAGUGGGAGCACCCUUUGGGGUGUGACUGCGUACCUUUUGUAUAAUGGGUCAGCGACUUAUAUUCUGUAGCAAGGUUAACCGUAUAGGGGAGCCGGAGGGAAACCGAGUCUUAACCGGGCGUUAAGUUGCAGGGUAUAGACCCGAAACCCGGUGAUCUAGCCAUGGGCAGGUUGAAGGUUGGGUAACACUAACUGGAGGACCGAACCGACUAAUGUUGAAAAAUUAGCGGAUGACCUGUGGCUGGGGGUGAAAGGCCAAUCAAACCGGGAGAUAGCUGGUUCUCCCCGAAAGCUAUUUAGGUAGCGCCUCGUGAAUUCAUCUCCGGGGGUAGAGCACUGUUUCGGCUAGGGGGCCAUCCCGGCUUACCAACCCGAUGCAAACUGCGAAUACCGGAGAAUGUUAUCACGGGAGACACACGGCGGGUGCUAACGUCCGUCGUGAAGAGGGAAACAACCCAGACCGCCAGCUAAGGUCCCAAAGUCAUGGUUAAGUGGGAAACGAUGUGGGAAGGCCCAGACAGCCAGGAUGUUGGCUUAGAAGCAGCCAUCAUUUAAAGAAAGCGUAAUAGCUCACUGGUCGAGUCGGCCUGCGCGGAAGAUGUAACGGGGCUAAACCAUGCACCGAAGCUGCGGCAGCGACACUCAGGUGUUGUUGGGUAGGGGAGCGUUCUGUAAGCCUGCGAAGGUGUGUCGUGAGGCAUGCUGGAGGUAUCAGAAGUGCGAAUGCUGACAUAAGUAACGAUAAAGCGGGUGAAAAGCCCGCUCGCCGGAAGACCAAGGGUUCCUGUCCAACGUUAAUCGGGGCAGGGUGAGUCGACCCCUAAGGCGAGGCCGAAAGGCGUAGUCGAUGGGAAACGGGUUAAUAUUCCCGUACUUGGUGUUACUGCGAAGGGGGGACGGAGAAGGCUAUGUUGGCCGGGCGACGGUUGUCCCGGUUUAAGCGUGUAGGUGUGUGUUCCAGGUAAAUCCGGUUCACUUUAACACUGAGGCGUGAUGACGAGGCACUACGGUGCUGAAGCAACAAAUGCCCUGCUUCCAGGAAAAGCCUCUAAGCAUCAGGUAACAUCAAAUCGUACCCCAAACCGACACAGGUGGUCAGGUAGAGAAUACCAAGGCGCUUGAGAGAACUCGGGUGAAGGAACUAGGCAAAAUGGUGCCGUAACUUCGGGAGAAGGCACGCUGACAC
rnacentral:rRNA from 1 species